AACGAACGCUGGCGGCAUGCCUAACACAUGCAAGUCGAACGAGACCUUCGGGCCUAGUGGCGCACGGGUGCGUAACGCGUGGUAACCUGCCCUUAGGUUCGGAAUACUUCCCCGAAAGGGGUCCUAAUACCGGUUAAUGUCUUCGGACCAAAGAUUUAUCGCCUUUGGAUGGGCCCGCGUUGGAUUAGCUGGUUGGUAGGGUAAAAGCCUACCAAGGCGACGUUCCAUAGCUGGUCUGAGAGGAUGAUCAGCCACACUGGGACUGAGACACGGCCCAGACUCCUACGGGAGGCAGCAGUGGGGAAUAUUGGACAAUGGGCGAAAGCCUGAUCCAGCAGUGCCGCGUGAGUGAUGAAGGCCUUAGGGUUGUAAAGCUCUUUUACCCGGGAUGAUAAUGACAGUACCGGGAGAAUAAGCUCCGGCUAACUCCGUG
rnacentral:rRNA from 1 species